UGUGGGAUAGCUCAGUUGGUAGAGCAUUGCCCUGAUAAGGCAAGGGUCACUGGUUCGAGUCCAGUUCCUACAACCA
rnacentral:tRNA from 1 species